AGAGUUUGAUCCUCACUCAAGAUGAACUCUGGCAGCAUGCUUAACACAUGCAAGUGGGACUGGAAAUGGUGUUUUCAAUGGUGAACUGUGAGUAAUAAGUAAGAACCUACCCUUGGGAGGGGAACAAUAGUUGGAAACGGCUGCUAAUACCCCAUAGGCUGAGGAGCAAAAGGAGGAAUUCGCCCGAGGAGGGGCUCAUGUGUGACUAGCUAGUUAGUGGGGCAAUAGCUUACCAAGGCGAUGCACAUUGGGACUGAGAGAUAGGCCUAGCCUCCUAAGGGAGGAAGCAGUGGGAAAUUUUUUGCAAUGGGCAAAAGCCUGACGAAGCAAUGCCGCAUAGAGGUAGAAAGCCCACGAGUCGUGAACUUCUUUUCUCGAAGAAGAAGUAAUGACAGUAUCUAGGGAAUAAGUAUUGACUAAAUCUGUUCCUACAGCCGUGGUAAUAAUAGCAUGCAAGCGUUAUCCGGAAUAAUUCGACGUAAAGCAUCUGUAAGUGGCUUUUUAAGUCUGCUGUCAAACUGUAGGGCUCAACCCUGGACAAGCUAUGGAAACUACCACGUUCAAGUACGGUAAGGGCAGAGGGAAUUUCCAGUGGAGUGGUGAAAUGCGUACAGAUCGAAAAGAACACCAACAAUGAAAGCACUCUACUGGGCCGACACUGACACUGAGAGARGAAAGCUAGGGGAGCGAAUGGGAUUAAUACCCCAGUAAUCCCAGCCAUAAAUGAUGGAUACUAGGCGAUGUGCGUAUCAACCCGAGCAGUGCUAUGGCUAACGCGUUAAGUAUCCUGCUUGGGGAGUACAUAUGAAAGAAUAAAACUCAAAGGAUUUGACGAGGGCUCGCACAAGCGAUGGAGCAUGUGGUUUAAUUCAAUGCAGAGCGAAGAACCUUACCAAGGCUUGACAUGCUGCAAACACUCUUAAAAGAGAGGGGUGCCUGUGGGAAUGCGAACACAGGUGGUGCAUGGUUGUCYUUAGCUCGUGUCGCAAGGUGUUGGGUUAAGUCCCGRAAUGAGCGCAACCCUCAUGUUUAGUUGCCAUUAUUGAGUUUGGAACAUUGAAUAGACUACUGAUGUUAAGCUAGAGGAAGGUGAGGAUGAUGUCAAGUCAUUAUGCACCUUAUGCCCUAGGCAAUGCACGUCCUACAAUGGCCGAGACAAAGAGUCGCGAUCUUACAAGGGUGAGCUAACCCUAAAAACCCAUCCUCACGCCUGCAUGAAGCUAGAAUGACUAGUGAAGCUAGCUGUACUGGAAGGUGCAGCUGGAUCACCUAUUUUGGUUUGACACAGCUUCACACCCAAAAAGAAGGUAGCUACGUCUGAGUUAAACUUGGAGAUGAAUGUCUUCUUUCCUUCCUCAGCAGUGAAGUAAGACCAAGCCUAUGAGCUUGUUAUCCUAGGUCAGAACAAGUUGAUAAGAUCCCUUUUUUAACAUC
rnacentral:rRNA from 1 species